rnacentral:SRP_RNA from 1 species
CAUUGGGUCUUACGCAAUGAAAAUCUGUGAACCGUGUCAGGUUGGGAACAAAGCAGCACUAAACAGAAUUUUUCAUGUGCCGUAAGGAAGCCUGAUGACU